GAGUUCUCGUUGAUGAUCGGUGCUUGCACUGAGAUUCAACAUGGAACGAGUGGCGGACGGGUGAGUAACACGUGGGUAACCUGCCCUUAAGUGGGGGAUAACAUUUGGAAACAGAUGCUAAUACCGCAUAGAUCCAAGAACCGCAUGGUUCUUGGCUGAAAGAUGGCGUAAGCUAUCGCUUUUGGAUGGACCCGCGGCGUAUUAGCUAGUUGGUGAGGUAAUGGCUCACCAAGGCGAUGAUACGUAGCCGAACUGAGAGGUUGAUCGGCCACAUUGGGACUGAGACACGGCCCAAACUCCUACGGGAGGCAGCAGUAGGGAAUCUUCCACAAUGGACGCAAGUCUGAUGGAGCAACGCCGCGUGAGUGAAGAAGGCUUUCGGGUCGUAAAACUCUGUUGUUGGAGAAGAAUGGUCGGCAGAGUAACUGUUGUCGGCGUGACGGUAUCCAACCAGAAAGCCACGGCUAACUACGUGCCAGCAGCCGCGGUAAUACGUAGGUGGCAAGCGUUAUCCGGAUUUAUUGGGCGUAAAGCGAGCGCAGGCGGUUUUUUAAGUCUGAUGUGAAAGCCCUCGGCUUAACCGAGGAAGCGCAUCGGAAACUGGGAAACUUGAGUGCAGAAGAGGACAGUGGAACUCCAUGUGUAGCGGUGAAAUGCGUAGAUAUAUGGAAGAACACCAGUGGCGAAGGCGGCUGUCUGGUCUGUAACUGACGCUGAGGCUCGAAAGCAUGGGUAGCGAACAGGAUUAGAUACCCUGGUAGUCCAUGCCGUAAACGAUGAAUGCUAGGUGUUGGAGGGUUUC
rnacentral:rRNA from 1 species